UACGUAGGUGGCAAGCGUUGUCCGGAAUUACUGGGUGUAAAGCGCGUGUAGGCGGCAGACCAAGUCGGCGGUGAAAGCGCCCGGCUCAACUGGGCGAGGUCCGUGGAAACUGGUCAGCUGGAGGACGGUAGAGGCGAGUGGAAUUCCCGGCGUAGUGGUGAAAUGCGUAGAGAUCGGGAGGAACACCUGUGGCGAAGGCGGCUCGCUGGGCCGGUCCUGACGCUGAGACGCGAAGGCGUGGGGAGCGAACGGG
rnacentral:rRNA from 1 species